CGGCAAGGCGCUCUCCCUCCCCGGCCUCGGGCUGCUUCCUCUCCUCGGCGGAGGCGAGGCCCUGGCUGGUCUUGAACUUGGGAUCCUCCUGCUUCACCCUCCCAGGUGCUGGCAUGACAGACAAGGCAUGGCUUCUAUAGAGCCUGUGCUUCCGAGCCGGGCAGACUCUGGGGGUCGUGCUGGUUGCCAGUGGCCUGCUGGGAGGUGGAGCCAAGAGACAGGUAGAGCUGGGCCCCCAGAGCUGGUUCACCACAGGGUUUUGCACUGCAGUGACUCAGGCAGAGUCAGAGUUGAGCCAGCUGUGCAGAUAAAGGAAGUUAUAUUCUGGCUCUUACUGCCUCAGUCAGCUGGCCCAUGAUAUGCAGCCGUGUCCAGUGAGAAAGUGACCAGUAAAUCAUCUAAGUGCCUCAAGGUCCUGGGGCCUACAUUCCUGUGAGACCCUGUGUUGGGAAGAGCACGGGGUUGCCUCCCCACCCCGGUGUCCUCUCCACAUCAUCCUCAACUCUGCUGGAGGAUUUAGUCCGCCUGAGAGAUUGUUCAGGUUAUGCUGUCCCAGCACCUCUUGCCCUCCAGCAUGUCCCUCCUUUAGUUUUUGUCGUCUUCGUCACUCUUGUUCCUCCUGCCGUGGCCGCCCUGGAUCACAGGUGUGUGCCCCACGUCCAACUCUGUCUGUUCCUCUGUUAGGUUCUUCCUUUUGGCUCUGGGGAGGGAGCACAGAGCCUGCAGCCCAGAGCGAGCUUCCAGUCUGGCAGGCGGGUUGAGCUGGAGUGGACUGCAAACAGGACUGCGUCAUCCCGAGGGCGGCCAGGGCGGUGCAAGGCGGGAUGGAGUGUGCUGGGCCAGGCCGGAGCCAGCCAGGGCAGCAGACCCGCUCAGAGCUUUCAGACAGAACCAGCUGCCGGGAGCAGGUGCCCAGUUUCAGCCGUGAGCCUCCUGCUUCUCCACACUCUCAGCUCGGAGUUCUGAUACACUCUUGGCUUCGCAGAGUCACUCAACAAACGUCUAUUGAGCACCUACUGUGUGCCAGGCGUUGCGUAGGCCCUGGUGACACAGGGUCAGAAGUGACUUUCUUCUCAGUAGUGACUUGGUUUGGAAUGUGCCCCUGGCUCCCUGGCAGCUUGGGCAGCAGAGGGCACGUUUGGCCGGUGAGCUAGAUGGACCAGGAUGCCUGUGGCUCUGUCCCCUGGGCGGCCACCCCAGCUGCCAUGCGCCCGCCCCUUGCUCUGUGACCUGUGCCCUUCCUCUGCCUGCGUGUGGACCAGCGUGUGGACCAGUGGCUGAGCCUGAGAGGGAGCACCUGGUGGAGGGACCCGCCCCUGCCGUCUUGACAGAGGACACAGCCACACUCUGCCAGCCCUGCCACUGCCGGCGGCCACUCCCUCACAGCCCAGCCUGGUCCUUGGCAGCCUCACCCCUUCUCAAGCCUUGUCUUAGCCAGCAGCCACCUCCCCUUCCAGCCCCCCAACCCCCAUGAUCCUUUAAAGGACCCCAGAGCCCCGAGGAGAGCAUCCCGUUUGGUCUCAGCGCCACAGCAGCCCACUCAGGUUUGUUCUGAAAUAAACCUGUCCUGUCGAG
ensembl:lncRNA